UCAGUUCAUUCUGACAUUCAGCUAUGAAUCAACACAGCAGAUGGUGAUCCAUGCUGUGGAAGUCUCACAUCUCCUGAUUUAAUGGAGCUGCUUUGCACUUUUUACACUGUUUAUUCACCAACACUUUAUUUAAUAAAAGUCCCAUCUAGUUUUCAUGAGGAAUGUGAUGUUUUAAUUUCUCUGUGAAUAACUGCAGUCUAAUGCAACAGCUGGAGUUGUAACAUCUGUCCUGAUAUUGAUCAUGAAGUAUUGAUCAGAAUACUUAUGGUUAGCAGUCAUCCCUGAAGUUUUACAUUAAAAUCUUUACUUGUGUUGUGAACUUUGGUAAGAAGCAGAAACGUUACCGUUGCCGUGGAUACAUGAGUGUUAAAUUCUGUCCAUGUUUCCAUUUUGGGAAAUUCAGUCCAGUUCCAGAAUGUGGAGGAAUUUAGUCUCACAAUCACAGACAAUAAAUAUUAUCUGAAAGUCGGGUUAUUGUUGUUCAUCAGCACAAUACAAAAAGAUUAAUGUUAGAAAUAUUCCAGUUAAGACUCUAGAAUAUCAUGAUUUAUGUAAAUUUACCUCAAUAAUAUGAAUGUUCAGGUUAAGAUUGUGCAGUGAUAUUUAUUAUGUAAGUUUAGCUGAUUAAAGUUUAUGACUCUGCACUAAAAUAUUAUUUAAAUUGACAUCAUUAUUAUAAUAUUUAGGGUCGGAUCCUACAGUAUUGAGAUUAAGAAAUCAAAUAUUCUAUAAAAUGUAAAUACACUGAACUCAUUUGGAUAUAUUUAAGUGAGACUCUACAAUAUUAUUUGACACAAAUCUAUCUAAAUCAAAAUUUUAAUAAUUUUCACGCCAAACAUUUACUGGACUGAUUUAAAUAUUAAAAUCACUCCUUUCUAAUCCUCUGCUGUACUUUCAAACCUGAGGCCUGAAAUAGAAACACACAAGUAUCUGAUUGAAGGAACUUCUGCAGAGUCCUGGUUCCAGAACAUGAUGAUAGAAUUAUAGACAAACUUUAACAAAAGCUGCCUGAGAGUUUACAGGUUUUCAUGUUGGAUUUCUUCAGUAAUUUAAUGAGUUAUCAGCAAAAAUCAAGUGUUCAUUUGAUGAACUUCAGUUCCUAAAACAUCCAGAAUUGGAGCUCAUAUCUUUGGCAGCUGUAAAGUUUCUGCUCCUUCAAAGUUCACAAUGAAUUAAUUCCUAAAACACUCUCAAUGCUGGAGAGCGUUUGAUGCUGAAGCAGUGAUCAGUUUUUCUGUUUCUUCUCUGGAGAUGCACAAUGAGGGACGUCUGCAGAGACUGAGAAAGAGUCUCACCACAUCCUGACAUGAGGAAAAAGACUUUAUUGAAGACUACAAUGAGAAAAACUAUCAGACAGCAGACGGCUGCAUUCAAGUCUGUAGCUGCUGAAUUCAUGGAUGAAUCAUCUGGCACUAGAGAAGAAGACCAUCAAACAUCCACAUCAGCUGAUGGAGGCCCAAGAGUCUCACCAAACAACCUACAGAGUGAAGACCUCAAAUCUGAUUGGAUGGCCUCCUAUUCAGCCACAUGUGUGAACAAAUGCCUCUAA
ensembl:lncRNA